UACAGAGGGUGCGAGCGUUAAUCGGAAUUACUGGGCGUAAAGCGCGCGUAGGCGGCUUUGCAAGUCGGGUGUGAAAGUCCCCAGGCUUAACCUGGGAACUGCAUUCGAGACUGCAUUGCUAGAGUAUGGGAGAGGGAAGUGGAAUUUCCGGUGUAGCGGUGAAAUGCGUAGAUAUCGGAAGGAACAUCAGUGGCGAAAGCGACUUCCUGGACCAAUACUGACGCUCAUGUGCGAAAGCGUGGGGAGCAAACAGG
rnacentral:rRNA from 1 species